CGCAGCAGGCGCGAAAACUUUACAAUGCGGGAAACCGUGAUAAGGGAACUCCGAGUGCCCGUAAAAUCGGGCUGUCCAUCUGUUUAAAUAACAGGUGAAGAAAGGGCCGGGCAAGACCGGUGCCAGCCGCCGCGGUAAUACCGGCGGCUCGAGUGGUGGCCACUAUUACUGGGCUUAAAGCGUUCGUAGCUGGUCUGUUAAGUCUCUGGGGAAAUCUACUGGCUUAACCAAUAGGCGUCUCAGGGAU
rnacentral:rRNA from 1 species